UGGAAUGACUGCGGGUUCUUCUCCCCAGCCUGCCAUGUAUCCACCAUGUAAACUGUCCAUCUGUAAGGCACAUCUGUAAGACCUCUGUUGGGAAUAGAAUGAUUUUGUGUGUUUUACUAUCAGUUGUGUUUCACUAUAUAAGUUUUAGAUAUGUGAACAAUGAGAAUACUGAGAUGAUUUCAGCUGAUCUGAAUGUGUUUGCUUUGCAGAAGUGGAGAAGUACAGGAGAGGAAGAGACAUGAAGUCUGAGGAGCACAUAUCGCAAUGCUUAGAUAAUUAGUUUCAUAUAUGGUAAAAAUAAUAGAAAGUGAUGUACAGAUAGUAAGGUACAGCACGUGUAGGGAGUUGUGUUGUUCUCUUGUCUUUCAAAACAGGAACCACGCCCCCACCGCCAGCGGGAAGGAGUCAGAUUAACACGAGGCAGGGGCGUGUUGUGGUGAAGGAGGAAGUGGAACUGCCAAUGAGAAGAGGACAACGCCUUGCGUGCACAAUGACACUCUGUUACGCUCAAAUAUACUGGGUCAGGGAAAGGACAGGAGGUCAGACUUCGUGAACUGACACACCUUUGUUGUUCGUCAGGGACGUGAAGUUGAGACCCAGAGCUCUGUAAUUUUAUUCCUUUACUGCUUAAUAAACUACAUUAACUGAGACCGAAUAUCUUCUCCUAUUGCUUCAUUAAAGAACACGCAGGACUGAGCUCACACAUAGCACAUUAGAGAGUAGGAUGAGACUCUUAGUCCAACAAUUUGGUGACCCCGACGUGAUGAAGACGGAGAAGUGAUGGAAUAAAGAUUAUUCAGCGGAGGACGACAGUAUCGUGACAACACUUGGCCGGCCUGAGAAAAAGUUUUCUCCAAACAGGUGACCACAGCUCAGGAGGGAGCAGAAGGAGAGGGGCACCCAAAAUCAGAGUGGGUCCUGCUCAAGGUGAUUAAAAGAAAGUGGUCGGAGCAUAGGUGGACUGGCCCCUACAAAGUCAUGGAACGGACGUCCCACGCCGUCAAACUACAGGGAAAAGGUGACACAUGGUAUCACUGGAGUCAGUGUGCAGUGGCAGAGACACCUGCCCGAACACUGGAAGACAUAAGAGACAAUAAAGACUAAAAAAAACCCAAAAAAAACCCCAACUCACUCACACCUACAUUUACUCUUAGUUCAGCAUAAGUGCGGUAAAGAUAUCCUGUGAUCAAUGUGAAGGUUAGAAGCUCCUCUGAAGCAACACUUUGCCCAGAGUACGUUUGAGUAAUAUAAAGCCAGGAUACAAGAAAGAUUCGCUUGCAGAACAUUUACACUCCAUAUUUACUUUUAUAUUUUACACGUUUAUAUUUACCUUUUUGCAAUACAAAAUAAAGAAA